rnacentral:rRNA from 1 species
AUUGAACGCUGGCGGCAGGCCUAACACAUGCAAGUCGAACGAGUGGCGGACGGGUGAGUAAUGUCUGGGAAACUGCCAGAUGGAGGGGGAUAACUACUGGAAACGGUAGCUAAUACCGCAUACCAUCGGAUGUGCCCAGAUGGGAUUAGCUUGUAGGUGAGGUAACGGCUCACCUAGGGGACGAUCCCUAGCUGGUCUGAGAGGAUGACCGGCACAGUUGUAACUGAGACCCGGUGCAGCUUUCUAUGGGAGGCAGCAGGGGGGAAUAUUGCACAAUGGGGGGAAGUCUGAUGCAGCCUGGCCGCGUGUAUGAAGAAGGCCUUCGGGUUGGAAAGUACUUGCAGCGGGGAGGCGUUACCCGCAGAAGAAGCACCGGCUAACUCCGUGCCAGCAGGCGCGGUAUUC